rnacentral:lncRNA from 1 species
UCGAAGUGUAUCACUUGGAAAUUCCCUACCAAAUUGAACAGUGACGUCCCCAGCAGAAAGAGUAUAGUUGAGUAAGUCCAAGAAACAAGUGAAGCAACCAGAAUCACAACAGGCCACCACCAAAGUUUAUCACGCAGAUAUACGGCACGAGUGACCUCACGAGCAGUCUUUAAGACAAAGCAAAUGAUGACCCAUGUGAACACUGAACGGUAAAAGGCAUGGGCAAUCACCACCAAAAGUAAAAGUUAGUUCAAAAGUUUGCAGUUCAAU